GAUGAACGCUGGCGGCGUGCCUAACACAUGCAAGUAGAACGCUGAAGGAAGGAGCUUGCUCUUUCCGGAUGAGUUGCGAACGGGUGAGUAACGCGUACGUAACCUGCCUGGUAGCGGGGGAUAACUACUGGAAACGAUAUCUAAUACCGCAUAAUAGUAGAUGUUGCAUGAUAUCUACUUAAAUGGUGCAAUUGCACCACUACCAGAUGGACCUGCGUUGUAUUAGCUAGUUGGUGAGGUAACGGCUCACCACGGCGACGAUACAUAGCCGACCUGAGAGGGUGAUCUGCCACACUGGGACUGAGACACGGCCCAGACUCCUGCGGGAGGCAGCAGUAGGGAAUCUUCGGCAAUGGACGGAAGGCUGAACGAGCAACGCCGCGUGAGUGAAGGAGGUUUUCGGGUCGUAAAAGUCUGUUGUGAGAGAAGGAAGAGUGUGAGAGUGGAAAGUUCACACUGUGACGGUAUCUUACCAAAAAGCGACGGCUAACUACGUG
rnacentral:rRNA from 1 species